UGAGGAACAUGACCUUCGGCGGGGGAUAGCCGGCCCAACGGCCGGGUAAUACCGCGUACGACCACAUGGGGACAUCCCUGAGUGGUGAAAGCAGCAAUGCGCCGAUGGAGUGCCCCGCGGCCUAUCAGCUAGUUGGUGGGGUAACGGCCUACCAAGGCAUCGACGGGUAGCUGGUCUGAGAGGACGACCAGCCACACUGGGACCGAGACACGGCCCAGACUCCUACGGGAGCAGCAGG
rnacentral:rRNA from 1 species